GAUGAACGCUAGCGGCAGGCUUAACACAUGCAAGUCGAGGGGCAGCAUAAUGGAUAGCAAUGCAACUGCCGGCGACCGGCGCACGGGUGAGUAACACGUAUCCAACCUUCCGGUUACUCGGGAAUAGCCUUUCGAAAGAAAGAUUAAUGCCCGAUGGUAUAGGGAUUCUGCAUGGAGACCCUAUUAAAGAUUUAUCGGUAACCGAUGGGGAUGCGUUCCAUUAGCCAGUUGGCGGGGUAACGGCCCACCAAAGCGACGAUCAGUAGCCGGCCUGAGAGGGUGAACGGCCACAUUGGGACUGAGACACGGCCCAAACUCCUACGGGAGGCAGCAGUGGGGAAUAUUGCACAAUGGGGGAAACCCUGAUGCAGCGACGCCGCGUGAGUGAAGAAGUAUUUCGGUAUGUAAAGCUCUAUCAGCAGGGAAGAAAGUGACGGUACCUGAAUAAGAAGCCCCGGCUAACUACGUG
rnacentral:rRNA from 1 species